UAGAUUGAAGCCAGUUGUUUAGGGUUUUUAGCUGUUAACUAACGUUUCAUGGGUUCAAAUCCCAUCAAUCUAG
rnacentral:tRNA from 1 species